GCGGACAUAGCUCAGGUGGUAGAGCACGAGCUUCCCAAGCUCGGGGUCGCGGGUUCAAAUCCCGUUGUCCGCU
rnacentral:tRNA from 1 species